AGUGGUUAAGUGCUUGGCUGCUAACCAAAAGGUUGGUGGUUCAAACCCGCCAGCCACUC
rnacentral:tRNA from 1 species